UGGGGAAUAUUGCACAAUGGGCGCAAGCCUGAUGCAGCCAUGCCGCGUGUAUGAAGAAGGCCUUCGGGUUGUAAAGUACUUUCAGUCGGGAGGAAGGUGUCAAGGUUAAUAACCUUGGCAAUUGACGUUACCGACAGAAGAAGCACCGGCUAACUCCGUGCCAGCAGCCGCGGUAAUACGGAGGGUGCAAGCGUUAAUCGGAAUUACUGGGCGUAAAGCGCACGCAGGCGGUUGAUUGAGUCAGAUGUGAAAUCCCCGGGCUUAACCCGGGAAUUGCAUCUGAUACUGGUCAGCUAGAGUCUUGUAGAGGGGGGUAGAAUUCCAUGUGUAGCGGUGAAAUGCGUAGAGAUGUGGGGGAAUACCGGUGGCGAAGGCGGCCCCCUGGACAAAGACUGACGCUCAGGUGCGAAAGCGUGGGGAGCAAACAGG
rnacentral:rRNA from 1 species